rnacentral:lncRNA from 1 species
AUUGAGAAUAAAAUAGGAAAUCUUGAGGAUAAAAUGGGAAAUAUGGAAGAUAAAAUAGGAAAAAUUGAGGAUAAAAUGAAAGCCCAAUUAGAAGAUCUAAAAAGUUUCUUACAGGAUCAAUUGGCAAACAACCACUCUACCAGAAACAGACCUGUUUCUGAACCUUUGAAUGAGGAAAUUUCCUUCCCUGAAAUAGAGAUGGAAAACACCUUCCCUAUAGCCAAGUUAACAGACUGCUUCUCUCGUGUAGUGCAAAUCUUGUCUGAAUUUAACCCCCAAAACCCUUCCCCUGCAAUCCCAGAUUCUCAUGUUCCUUCUCCUACAGAAAACCAAAUUCCAAUGCAAGAGAGAUCUUGUCCUCCUAGAAAAACCUGUCCUUGUCAAACUGACCCACAGGUGCAAAAUUCAACUAGAGGCCUGUUUCCUCUAAGAGAAGUACCUGAAAUAGGACGAAAUGGGGAUGUGGUGACUUUAAGACAUAGGAUACCAUUUACUCCCCAAGAAAUAAAUGAAUUUACACAAAAUAUCCCCACAUAUGAACAGGAUCCUUUUCUAGUAACAAAAAAGAUGGGAGACAUAUUUUUUCAGUAUAAUCCAUCUUACAAGGACGUUGAGAGCUUACUACAGGCUUUUUUAAGUGAACGUGAAAAAAAUAAAAUAAUUGCUCAUGUCAACAAAACCUGGGGGCAUAAUGCAGCACAUUGGCCAUCUCAGGAUCCCGAAUGGGACUAUAACAAUCCUGAUGAUUAUCUACAACUCUACCGUUGUAGAGAGGCCAUCCUCACGUCCAUGAAGGAAUGUGCAGACAGUACAGAUAAGUGGAUGGAACUGGAAAAAAUUAAGCAAAAGGAAAACGAAACACCCUCCAGAUUUAUGGACAGAAUUAUCGAGUUUGGGGACAGAUACUUAGAUUGGGACUUAACUAAAGAGAGUAGUUUAAGACAAGUUAGAAGAAUCUUUGUAAACAAUUCUUGCAAAGUAAUUAAAAAUUAUUUUAAAACACAAUGUCCAAGAUGGUCAG